UCCAAGGCUAAAUACUCCUGAAUGACCGAUAGUGAACUAGUACCGGGAGGGAAAGGUGAAAAGAACCAUUAUAAAGGGAGUGAAAUAGAAUCUGAAACCGCUUGCAUACAAGCAGUAGGAGCAUGAUUUAGUCAUGUUACUGCGUACCUUUUGUAUAAUGGGUCAGCGAGUUAUUUUUAGUGGCGAGGAUAACUGAAUAAGGGAUCCGUAGCUAAAGAGAGUGUGAAUAGGGCGACUAGUCGCUAGGAGUAGACCCGAAAC
rnacentral:rRNA from 1 species